GUGAUGUUAGUGUGUGUAUGUGUAAGGGUGCUGUGUGUGUAAGGGUGCUGUUAGUGUGUGCUGUGUGUGUGUGAGGGUGCUGUUAGUGUGUGCUGUGUGUGUGUGUGUGUAUGUGUGAAGGUGCUGUGUGUGUAAGGGUGUUGUUAGUGUGAGGGUGCUGUUAGUGUGUGUGUGUAAGGGUGUUGUUAGUGUGUGCUGUGUGUGUGUAAGGGUGCUGUGUGUGUGAGGGUGCUGUGUGUAAGGGUGCUGUUAGUGUGUG